UUCCACUAAAUAGAAUAAUAGCAAAUAAUAAUAAUAAUACCUCUAACUAUUUUAUUAACUUAUUACUAUUAUCACUAAUUUCCACCUAUUAAAUAAUAAUAAUAAUAAUAAUAAUAAUAAUAAUAAUAAUUCACUCAAUGAACUAAUUAAAUUAAUAUUCAACUAAUAUUAACUAAUUAACUAAUAUAAUUAAUUAGUUUUACUCACCACACCAUCAUUUCUAC
rnacentral:lncRNA from 1 species